GUAGUCAUAUGCUUGUCUCAAAGAUUAAGCCAUGCAUGUCUAAGUAUAAACAACUUUGUACUGUGAAACUGCGAAUGGCUCAUUAAAUCAGUUAUAGUUUAUUUGAUCAUACCUUACUACUUGGAUAACCGUGGUAAUUCUAGAGCUAAUACAUGCUAAAAACCCCGACUUCGGAAGGGGUGUAUUUAUUAGAUAAAAAACCAAUGCUCUUCGGGGCUCCUUGGUGAUUCAUAAUAACUUAACGAAUCGCAUGGCCUUGUGCCGGCGAUGGUUCAUUCAAAUUUCUGCCCUAUCAACUUUCGAUGGUAGGAUAGUGGCCUACCAUGGUUUCAACGGGUAACGGGGAAU
rnacentral:rRNA from 1 species